rnacentral:tRNA from 1 species
GGGGAUUUAGCUCAGUGGUAGAGCGCUUGCCUAGGAAGCGCAAGGCCCUGGGUACGAUCCCCAGCUCCG